AACGCGAAGAACCUUACCAGGUCUUGACAUACCAGUGCUAUUCUUAGAGAUAAGAAGUUACUUCGGUACACUGGAUACAGGUGGUGCAUGGUUGUCGUCAGCUCGUGUCGUGAGAUGUUGGGUUAAGUCCCGCAACGAGCGCAACCCCUAUUGUUAGUUGCCAUCAUUAAGUUGGGCACUCUAGCGAGACUGCCGGUAAUAAACCGGAGGAAGGUGGGGAUGACGUCAAAUCAUCAUGCCCCUUAUGACCUGGGCUACACACGUGCUACAAUGGUUGGUACAACGAGUCGCAAGCUAGUGAUAGCAAGCUAAUCUCUUAAAGCCAAUCUCAGUUCGGAUUGUAGGCUGCAACUCGCCUACAUGAAGUCGGAAUCGCUAGUAAUCGCGGAUCAGCACGCCGCGGUGAAUACGUUCCCGGGUCUUGUACACACCG
rnacentral:rRNA from 1 species